rnacentral:rRNA from 1 species
AGUGAACGCUGGCGGCAGGCCUAAUACAUGCAAGUCGAACGGCAGCACAGUGGAGCUUGCUCCAUGGGUGGCGAGUGGCGGACGGGUGAGGAAUACAUGGGAAUCUGCCCAGUCGUGGGGAUAACGUAUGGAAACGUACGCUAAUACCGCAUGCGCCCUUCGGGGGAAAGUCGGGGACCGCAAGGCCUGACGCGAUUGGAUGAGCCCAUGUUCGAUUAGCUAGUUGGCGGGUAACGGCCCACCAAGGCGACGAUCGAUAGCUGGUCUGAGAGGAUGAUCAGCCACACUGGAACUGAGACACGGUCCAGACUCCUACGGGAGCAGCAGUAGGGAAUAUUGGACAAUGGGGCGCAAGCCUGAUCCAGCCAUGCCGCGUGAGUGAAGAAGGCCUC